rnacentral:lncRNA from 1 species
AGGCUCUAUAGGCUCUAUAGACGCUAAAUAUUCUAAAUAUUCUUUUCGAUUAUCUACAAAUAAUAUUUUUUUCAAUUCCAAAUUUACAAAUAAAAAUCUUCCACCCAUUUGGCAAAAAGCCUUAAAAACUUGUUUACAGCCCUAAAUUCACAUCGAGAAAGGGAAAGAGCCCUCCUUUGCUCAGAGAUGCAGAAGCAAGUCGGUCAAUGUUAAAAAAGAAAAUAUAUAUGCCCUAGAGAGAGAAAGAGGAAAAGGAGAGGAAAAGAACUCUCUCUAAAGAUGGAGAGAGAAAUAAGUUCUGACUCUGACUAACACUGGAGGAGGAUAUAAUAAUUUGUUCCUCUCCAGAUUCCCAUUUUGGGACAAAACCACACUUCACCAUUUCUCAAAAUUUAACCAGCCUCCCCACCCAACUUCUCUUUGCAAAGUCCACGAAUCAACUUCUUGUAGGUACAAAAGUAGGAUUUUUACUCAAAAACCAUCACACUUGUUAAUUAUUUUGCAUGUUUCUUCAAAUUGAAUUCGCACUGAGAAUCACAAACCACAUACUCAAAACUCCAGUACCAUGGGCACAAUCGAUUUCAUCACUAGCACACCCAUCCAUACGCAGCUUCCAUGGCUGAACCCCAAUCCAGAUCAAAUGAGAAAAUGCUGAAUUCCCUAUUGCCAAGCUUUGGAGUUUACUAAUCAAUACUCAACUGAUUUCGCAUACUCAACUCAACUGAUAUCGCAUAGUUCUCGGCUUCCAUUUGUAAUCCGGUAUUGCCAUGACCUGCUUGGUUUCUUCAUGACAGCGUUGCUCUUCGAGGGUUCUUAAAAUGGGAGACUGUGCGGGGGCUUUGGUACUGUCAAAGCUCGAAAGAUAUUAAUUCACUAUAUGGUUAACGAGAGCUGAUUGCUGAAAUGAGUCUCUACACAGACGUGUGGGCUUCAUCUCUAUAUGUCGAUAUUACUAAUAUACCCUUCAUUUAAAUUUUGUACUGAAAAUUGACAUAUUUUAUAUUUAUUAUAUAAUAAUAAUAACUAUUGUUAUAUGUAAUAAAUAUUUAGUGCAAAUCAAUUUGUAUUACACAAAAUAUCAUAUGUAAAUUAUAUAUUAUAGUAUUGUAUUAAAUAUUUAUACUCAAUUUUAUUAUAAAUUAUUUGUUUAUUAUUUAUAUAUAGAAAACUUUAUUCCAUA